UUGUCCAAAAAUUAGUUAGAAAAAGAUGUCAUUUCCCUGAAACUUAGAAGCUGACAUAUUCCCUUCUAGAACCUCCCUCAUCUCUAUCUUAAUACACUCUACAUAAUAGAGGAAUUCCCUGUAGAAAAGGACUGGAUUAACACACACGAAAAACUCUCUGAAAAUUCCUCCUUUCAUCCUCUCAAUGAUUUUUACACUAAUUUCUAAAAAUCCAAUCCUUGAAAAUUUGUGGAAAACCAACUUUGGAAUUUCAGAAAGUAAACAAAACAACUAAAUGUAUUCAGUAGCUUGCUUCAUUAUCGGAUAGCUGGAAUUCAUGGUUUCUGGGUUUAAAGUUUGGUUGAGCUUCAUUUUCUACUGUUUGCUACUGUUUUAUCAAGAUGUAGCUGAAUCUCAUUUCUACCUGUGCUUCUCAAGUUUAGAGGCCUAUUUUCUGACCGUUAUUUGAUGUUCAUUUUUGUUGUGUGUUGUUAGGUAUGUAUACUUCCAUCUGUAAUCUUUCAUUUUGAAUCUGAGAAUGAUAAUUGAGUUGCCUAUGCUCUGUUUGUAUUCAUUCCUAUAUAUCCAAACAUGAUUUGUUACAAAUCUACUUAGCUUGCCAUUUGAUUGACUUUUGUAUUUGUUGGUCUACUACUAUUAGUGAUUUACACUUUUAAAUAAUAAUUCCUACUUAAAUGUGGUCAUUAAUAAUAAUUGAUUUGAUCCCAAUAUGAUGUUUUUCUUUUGAAUUGUUAAAAUAGCCAAAUGUUUUUACAAGAGUAACCCAGUUAGAUGUGUGUUUGUAAAUUUAGAAGCUGUUUGGAGAAAAGAGAACCACACGGGAGCAGACUCUAUCAUGGAAGCUCAUAGCUAGGUAUGUUCAUAAAAAUUCGAAAAAUCGAAUUAAACCGUACCGAUUUAAAAAAUCGAUAUAUUUUUUGGUUUGGUUUGGUUUUUAUUUUGAAUUUUAAAAACAAAUCAAAUUUGAUUUGGUUUUAGUUAUAAUAAAAAAAUAACCGAAAAAUCGAACCAAACCGACUAUAGGAGUAGUUAUUUCAAAUUUAUUAUUACACAUAUAUAUAUACACACACAAAGUUUAAAAGAAAAUUAUGGUGAAUGUUAAUCAUUUGCAUUUUUAGUAUAGUUCUUUAUUUUUAUAUUCUAAUUUGAUUGGUAGUUUUCUUUUGUUAAGUGUAAGAAUUCAUUUCAUGUAAAAAAAUAUAUUUUUAAUUUAUACCUUAAAUUAUUCAUCACUAUUUGAUUCAAUUAUCAUCAAUAUAUUUUAGUAAAUAAUAUAUUUCUCAAAGGAAAAUUAAUUUGAUAGUGUUACGUUGAAAAUAUGGUCGCCGGAAUAUGUUUUUGGUAGUGCAUGUCUUAUAUUUAAGAAAAAACUGACAAAUAAUCGAAAAAAAUAAAAAUUCGGCAUAAAACGAAUCGAGAAAAAACUGACUUAAUUGGUUUGAUUUGGUUCUACUAUUUGAAAAACUAACUUAUUUGGUUUGGUUUCUUUUUAGGAAAAAACCGAUUCAAACCCCCUACUAUAGAAGCCUAGAUGUAACUUUAUGUUAAUGAGUAUGUAAUUUAUGUUGUAAUUAGUGAAUUGUAUGAUUUAAAUUAGAGAAUUUUUUAUAAAGCAUUAUUUUUUUAAUGGUAAUUAGUUAUCCAUAGAUACCAUUUGCUAUAUUAUGGAUUAUAGAUACGUUUUCUCUUGUUAUAAGAUAUAUUAGAUGUAUUUAAGCUAUUGUAUUCAUGAAUACAAUAGCAAAAAUAGGCGUGAAUCGGGGAAGUCAAGCUAAUAAGUUAUUGUAUUCGAGUGUAUUUGAUUGUAUUCAUGGAGUGAAACAAGGGUUCACAACUCGACAGAUUUUUGUAUUUGAGUGUAUUCAAUUUUAUUCAUGGCGUGAAAUACGAGAUUACAGCCGUACAAAUUAUUGUAUUUGACUGUAUUUACGGCGUGAAAUAGGUAAUUCAACGUCGGAUUCUUAAUGAAGGAUGAAGACAGAGAUGGAGGAGAAGAGUGGCAGUGAGGAAAGCAACAGGAGAAGCAAAAGGAGCCCUUCAACUUUUGCUUCAGAGAUGGAGCUGAAUUAGGUAUAGAAGAUGAUUUUCGUUCAUUGGAGUUUGAGAUUUUGGAUUAAAAAAUGGAGGAGAAAUUGAGGGGUUUUACACAUAGAGAAAUAGGAAACGACGAAUAUUCUAAUAUAUGAGAGAGAAAAAUA
rnacentral:lncRNA from 1 species